UGCUGUAACCACCCUGGUACUGCCUUCCCACGCGGGGCUCAGUGUGGAUGCAGUGAAUGAGUCUAGAAAUCAGCUGCACAGCUGAUGGGUCGAAGGAACAGCCGGCUCUGUUAACUGCCGGCUGCCCCCCUCCCCUCGUGUAAGCAGGCUAAAGGUGGCCCGGGAGCCCAGCCAGCAGCCCCCGCCCGUCAGGCGGAGCUCGGGCCCUGGCAAUCUCUGCACUUUGUCAUCACGCCCGAGUAUUUGACAUACGCAAUUAUCUGCAAAUACCCUGAUCGGUUUGUAUAUGAAACACUUUUUUUCCUGCCUUAAGGAUGGAAUCUGGUAAGUUUCAGACAAGUGGUUGCGGGGGGGAGGUGACCCGGGGGACCGCGGGAGACUGGCCCGAUGAAGCCGACUCGGAGAGCUGGGCGACGGGAAGGGACGGGUCUGGAGGUCUCCCCCUCCUCCCCAGCCCCGCUGGGAGGAAAGGCCAAGCGGAGCUAAUUGCUUAUGCAGGAAAAUACUCUUUACCCGGACCAAGGCCUUCCGCCGGGCGCUGACAAACCCCCGCCGGCGGCAGUGGUCUAAUGCCACCCGCGAAGUAGUGAAGGAACCGGCGGCGAGAGGGCGGCAGUCUCCGCCACCGGCACUGCUUAGGACUCCCGGUAGGGGGAGUCGCCGCGGGCGCUAGGCCAACCUGGGUCCAGGCCUCAAGUCCGCCUUGCUGCCAGCGGCAACCCUGUAUGAAAGGCCUGCCCUCCAGGUGCGCGCGGCCAGCAGAAGAGAGAACACAGGGCCGAGCCCGCCCCUAAUUCCGGUGGUUGUACAGCAAAGAAGAUAAGCAAGACAGAAGAAUAUUCUUUAGGUCCAGAUAUAGAGCUUUCUAGACAUUUAGCUUGAUCCUCUGGGUUUAGCACCAUGAUCUAGAAAAUCCCUAGUCACUCAGGUGAGAUGACUGUUCUCCACCUUGUGUCUGUGAGAGUGGGCAGAAGGAUAUGCUUAAGAGAGCUUUUCUUUUCCACCCCCCAGGAGAGCAGUGUGCUUCCAGAAUAUGUGGUGUGUUGUGCCCUAGUUGUGCCCUAUCCACCUCAAGGCAGGAUUCUAGGCAUGCUCUUCUCUAAGAGGGACUGGAUGAGGAUUCCCAUGAAGGAUCUAGAACAUUACCUGUACCCUUCUUAUCCCAGGGAAGGCUAGUAGUGAAGAAGAUAUUGGGCAGGAAAGAUGGGAAGAAAAGGAGAACUAUGACUACUUUUAAGGAGGUUAUGCCAUUGUGAGCCUGGUGCCCAUGUAGGAAACAACUCUCUUUUUUUUAAAGAUUAAAUUUAUUUAAACAAUGGUAUACAUCUUCCUCCAAUGGUAACUUUAAUGAUUAUUAAAAAUUCUUGAAAUUUCUGUAAAUGUUGGGGGAAAUGAAGCAUCAUGCUUUGGGAUUUUAAACCUACAGAGUAAGUCAACUCUACUUUCGCUACUUACUAGCAGUAUAAAGCUGGGGCAGUUCAUGUAUCUCUUACCCACAGUUAUCUCAUAAAAUGGUGAGGAUUAAGUGAAACACUACAUGUGAGUUGCUUAAAACACUUCCUAGAACAUAAUAAAAACUUAAAAAUGUUCACUCUAUUAUUAUGGUAUGGGAAUUGCUGAUCUAACUGGCUCUUUUUCUCUUAAUUCACCUGCAAAUCCCUGAAUGUGAACAAGGAGUUGAAGAUUGGAUCACAUUGUUCUAUUAGAUCCAUCUUUUUUAGACAAAAUAAUGCAAAGAAUCUUAUGUUACUUCAUCACCAAUGAAGUGAUUUUGAAUUUUUAUUAAGCAUCUCUCUAGAAUAUUUUGCUCACCUGUUCUGUAUACACUUCUGUCCCCUACAUCAGAGGCUCCUCAGCCAGGUGAGAUAGGCAGGGACUAUCUGCUGAGUGGUCAUUUCAAAGUCCUCCAGAGAGGGCGAUGCUCAGGCAGGUAGAACAUUGUCUCAUAUGGUGCCAGAGAUGUAACAUUACAUUGGCUCAGAGCACAGAAAAAGAGGCUCACAGACUAUGUCCUCUGGUCUUUGAUUCUUGCUACAGGGACACAAGGUGUCAUACCAAAUGCUGAGAAGACCCUAGGCUUACUCUGAAAAACAUUUCUGUCACAUUUCGACAUUAAACUUGCCCAGGGACCAAUAUUGUUUUGUUUGGUGUUGAUGAAAAAAUAAAAUAUUGUC